AUUGAACGCUGGCGGCAUGCCUAACACAUGCAAGUCGAACGAGUGGCGGACGGGUGAGUAAUGUCUGGGACACUGCCCGAUGGAGGGGGUUAACUACUGGAAACGGUAGCUAAUACCGCAUACCAUCGGAUGUGCCCUGACGGUAUUAGCUAGUGGGUGGGGUAACGGCUCACCUAGGCGACGAGCCCUAGCUGGUCUGAGAGGAUGACCAGCCACACGGGAACCAAGAGGCGGUCCAGACUCCCACGGCAGGCAGCAGUGGGGAAUAUUGCACAAUGGGCGCAAGCCGGAUGCAGCCAAGCCGCGUGUAUGAAGAAGGCCUUCGGGUUGUAAAGUACUUUAAGCGCGGAGGCGGUACUCGCAGAAAAAGCACCGGCUAACUCCGUGCCAGCAGCCGCGGUAAUUC
rnacentral:rRNA from 1 species